CGAGCGGAAGGCCCUUCGGGGUACUCGAGCGGCGAACGGGUGAGUAACACGUGAGCAACCUGCCCCAGGCUUUGGGAUAACCCCGGGAAACCGGGGCUAAUACCGAAUAUGACCUCUGACCGCAUGGUUGGUGGUGGAAAGUUUUUCGGCUUGGGAUGGGCUCGCGGCCUAUCAGCUUGUUGGUGGGGUGAUGGCCUACCAAGGCGACGACGGGUAGCCGGCCUGAGAGGGCGACCGGCCACACUGGGACUGAGACACGGCCCAGACUCCUACGGGAGGCAGCAGUGGGGAAUAUUGCACAAUGGGCGGAAGCCUGAUGCAGCGACGCCGCGUGAGGGAUGACGGCCUUCGGGUUGUAAACCUCUUUCAGCAGGGACGAAGCGUAAGUGACGGUACCUGCAGAAGAAGCGCCGGCCAACUACGUGCCAGCAGCCGCGGUAAGACGUAGGGCGCGAGCGUUGUCCGGAUUUAUUGGGCGUAAAGAGCUCGUAGGCGGCUUGUCGCGUCGACCGUGAAAACUUGGGGCUCAACCCCAAGCCUGCGGUCGAUACGGGCAGGCUAGAGUUCGGUAGGGGAGACUGGAAAUUCCUGGUGUAGCGGUGAAAUGCGCAGAUAUCAGGAGGAACACCGGUGGCGAAAGGCGGGUCUCUGGGCCGAUACUGACGCUGAGGAGCGAAAGCGUGGGGAGCGAACAGGA
rnacentral:rRNA from 1 species